AACGUAGGAGACGAACGUUAUCCGGAGUUACUGGGCGUAAAGGGCGUGUAGGCGGUUUGUUAAGUCUGGCGUGAAAGCUCUCGGCUAAACCGGGAGAGGUCGUUGGAUACUGGCGAACUAGAGGAUGGUAGAGGCGUGUGGAAUUCCGGGUGUAGUGGUGGAAAUGCGUAGAGAUCCGGAGGAACACCAGUGGCGAAGGCGACACGCUGGGCCAUACCGUGACGCUAAAGCGCGACAGCAUGGGGAGCAAACGGGG
rnacentral:rRNA from 1 species